GCCUGUGCAUUUUUCCAGAAGUGUCCUAAUGAGUUUCUCACAUACAACAUUGAGAAGAAAGACUGAUUUGGGGGAGAGCCCUUGGUUAUUUCUAAAGAGUAUUACUUUGUUGAUUGUUUGAGGAAGAGAAACAUCGUCUUGCUAUUUUACCAGAGUCCACAGCUCCACCUGGGAAUUCAUCUGUUUUGAAGUUCUUCAAAUAUGUGAUCACAGAUGUGGAAAAAUGCACUGCUACCAGAUGAAUUUCACUUGGAACCCAGUUCACGAUCAGCAAACACAGUGACUUCAACUUCUUUGCAAGUCUCUAUUGUCUUAAUAUUUGGAGUCUUGUUUUGCCAUUUUUGGAACAAAGAAAAAUCUCCCCCACAAGCUUCAGUGAUUUCAUUUUCUUCAGGCCCACACCUGAUUCUUUUAGCCCAUUUGCUAAGUAAACUAUUUUUAUUUGUCCUGUAGAUAUUUCAGAUAAAGAGUUUGUCUUUGACAUAAAAGACGGCUUCAUUGCUUCCAUGCUUUUAUUAGUGUAUGGUUGAUUUGGAAAACCAUAGCUUGACAGCACAGAAUUGACAAUAUUUUCUGCAGCUAAACAUAUUCUGAGUGGAGAAACCGUUGUCUGAAUUUGGUCUGCCCAUGCCCUACCGAGGUCCUGAGUUGCAGAAAACACGUCGAAUCAGCCGGCUGCAGACAGACAGGUCUGUGCACGCCAUACCGAGGUCCUGAGUCACGCAGAAGAUGCCAAAUCACCCUGCUGCAGACGGGGAGGUCUGCCCAUGCUCUCCCGAGGUCCUGAGUUGCACAGAACACGCAGAAUCAGCCCGCUGUAGACAGGCAGGUCUGCCCAUGCCCUACCGAGGUCCGGGGUCUCAAAGAAGACACCACAUCACCCCGCUGCAGACAGGCAGGUCUGCCCAUGCCCUCCUGAGGUCCUGAGUCGCACAGAACUCGCCGAAUCAGCCCGCUGUAGACAGACAGGCCUGCCCAUGCUCUCCCGAGGUCCUGAGUCGCACAGAACAUGCUGAAUGAGCCCGCUGCAGACAGGCAGGUCUGCCCAUGCCCUCCCGAGGACCUGAGUCGCACAGAACUCGCCAAAUCAGCCCGCUGUAGACAGACAGGCCUGCCCAUGCUCUCCCGAGGUCCUGAGUCACACAGAAAAAGCCGAAUCAGCCCGCUGCAGACAGGCAAGUCUGCCCAUGCCCUACCGAGGUCCGGAGUCUCGCAGAAGACACCACAUCACCCCACUGUAGACAGGCAGGUCUGCCCAUGCCCUCCCGAGGACCUGAGUUGCACAGAAGAGGCCGAAUCAGCCCACUGCACACAGACAGGUGUGCCCAUGCCCUCCUGAGGUCCUGAGUUGCACAGAACUCGCCGAAUCAGCCCGCUGUAGACAGGCAGGCCUGCCCAUGCUCUCCUGAGGUCCUGAGUCACACAGAACAUGCCAAAUCAGCCCGCUGCAGACAGGCAGGUCUGCCCAUGCCCUACCGAGGUCUGGAGUCUCCCAGAAGACACCACAUCACCCCGCUGUAGACAGGCAGGUCUGCCCAUGCCCUCCUGAGGACCUGAGUUGCACAGAACAGGCCGAAUCAGCCCACUGCACACAGGCAGGUCUGCCCAUGCCCUGCCGAGGUCCUGAGUCACGCAGAACAAGCCAAAUCACCCCACUGCAGACAGGCAAGUCUGCCCGUGCCCUACCGACGUCCUAAGUGGCACACAACACAUUUCGUCUUCACUUUCUCUAGUGGCUGAAUCUUCACAGAGAUGACUACUAAGUGCUGGGAAAUAAUAUGUGGAUCUACUUUGAUUGCUUUUCUUCCAAUAUGUGGAAUUAUUACAACUGAGCAUUCUCCAGAUUUAUCUUCCUCCAACUUACUUUUGUCAUUUACGAUUUUCUCAGCAUGCUUUUCUGUCUUUUCGAUGUUUCAACAUCCAGAUCUCCAAAGAUACCCAUAUAUGAACUCAUUGAGGUCAUCGUAUCCAAUGGAACAUUUUGAAUGGAAUUUUUCAAAAAGGUCAACUACUAUAUCUUCCAAAAAUGCAGCUGAAAAGAGAGAAGCCUGUGCUGUUUCCUUAUGAUUGUACCUCUGUAGUUUACUAAAUCUAGUAAUCAGAUAUGUAACUGGAGGAUGAUUCUUGACCAUGUAAAAAUGGUCGUAAAUGAAGUCUGCCCAUGCCCUACCGAGGUCCAGAGUCUCACAGAAGACACCACAUCACCCCACUGUACACAGGCAGGUGUGCCCAUGCCGUGCCGAGGUCCUGAGUCACGCAGAACAUGCCAAAUCACCCCACUGCAGAUAGGCAAGUCUGCCCAUGCCCUACCGAGGUCCUAAGUGGCACACAACACAUUUCGUCUUCAUUUUCUCUAGUGGCUGAGUCUUCACAGAGAUGACUGCUAAGUGCUGGGAAACAAUAUGUGGAUCUACUUUGAUUGCUUUUCUUCCAAUAUGUGGAAUUAUUACAACUCAGCAUUCUCCAGAUUUAUCUUCCUCCACCUUUAUUUGCCAUUUAUCAUUUUCUCAGCAUGGUUUUCUCUCUUUUCAAUGUUUCAACAUCCAGAUCUCCAAAGAUACCCAUAUAUGAACUCAUUGAGGUUGUCGUAUCCAAUGGAACUUUUUGAAUGGAAUCUUUCAAAAAGGUCAACUACUACAUCUUGCAAAAAUGCAGCUGAAAAGAGAGAAGCCUGUGCUGUUUCUUUACUAGAUUUAGUAAACUACAGAGGCACAAUCUUAAUCAGAUAUGUAACUGGAGGAUGAUUCUUCACCAUGUGAAAAUGGUCAUAAAUGAAGUCUGGCCAUGCCCUCCUGUGGUCCUGCAUCACACAGAACACGUCAAAUCAGCCCGCUGCAGACAGGCAGGUCUGCCCAUGCCCUCCCGAGGUCCUGCAUCACACAGAACACGUCGAAUCAGCCCGCUGCAGACAGGCAGGUCUGCCCAUGCCCUACCGAGGUCCGGAGUCUCGCAGAAGACACCACAUCACCCUGCUGCAGAUAGGCAGGUCUGCCCAUGUCCUGCUGAGGUCCUGAGUCACGCAGAACACGCCAAAUCACCCCACUGCAGACAGGCAAGUCUGCCCAUGCCCUACCGAUGUCCUAAGUGGCACACAACACAUUUCGUCUUCAUUUUCUCUAGUGGCUGAAUCUUCACAGAGAUGACUACUAAGUGCUGGGAAAUAAUAUGUGGAUCUACUUUGAUUGCUUUUCUUCCAACAUGUGGAAUUAUUACAACUGAGCAUUCUCCAGAUUUAUCUUCCUCCAACUUACUUUUGCCAUUUAUCAUUUUCUCAGCAUGGUUUUCUGUCUUUUCGAUGUUACAACGUCCAGAUCUCCAAAGAUACCCAUAUAUGAACUCAUUGAGGUCGUCUUAUCCAAUGGAACUUUUUGAAUGGAAUUUUUCAAAUAGGUCAACUACUACAUCUUCCAAAAAUGCAGCUGAAAAGAGAAGCCUGUGCUGUUUCUUUACUAGAUUUAGUAAACUACAGAGGUACAAUCAUAAUCAGAUAUGUAACUGGAGGAUGAUUCUUCACCGUGUAAAAAUGGUCGUAAAUGAAGUCUGGCCAUGUCCUCCCAUGGUCCUGCGUCACACGGAUCACACCAAAUCAUCCUGCUGCAGACAGUCAGGUCUGCCCAUGCCCUCCUGAGGACCUGAGCCACAGAGAACAGGCCGAAUCAGCCCACUGCACACAGGCAGGUGUGCCCAUGCCCUGGUGAUGUCCUGAGUCGCACAGAACACGCCGAAUCAGCCCUCUGCAGACAGGCAGGUCUGCCCAUGCCCUGCCGAGUUCCUGAGUCAUGCAGAAUACACCAAAUCACCCCGCUGCAGACAGGCAGGUCUGCCCAUGCUCUGUCGAGGUCCUGAGUCACACAGA